rnacentral:rRNA from 1 species
ACGGAAGGCAGCAGUGAGGAAUAUUGGUCAAUGGACGGAAGUCUGAACCAGCCAUGCCGCGUGAAGGAAUAAGGCCCUAUGGGUCGUAAACUUCUUUUGUGGUGGAGCAAUAAGGUGCACGUGUGCAUCGAUGAGAGUACAUCACGAAUAAGCAUCGGCUAACUCCGUGCCAGCAGCCGCGGUAAUACGGAGGAUGCGAGCGUUAUCCGGAUUUACUGGGUUUAAAGGGUGCGUAGGCUGUUCUUCAAGUCAGAGGUGAAAUACCGGGGCUCAACCCUGGAGCUGCCUUUGAUACUGGAGGGCUUGAAUACUGUUGCCGUGGGAGGAAUGAGUAGUGUAGCGGUGAAAUGCAUAGAUAUUACUCAGAACACCGAUUGCGAAGGCAUCUCACGAAGCAGCGAUUGACGCUGAGGCACGAAAGCGUGGGGAUCAAACAGGAUUAGAUACCCUGGUA